rnacentral:rRNA from 1 species
CAGCAGCCACGGUAAUACGUAGGUGGCAAGCGUUGUCCGGAAUUAUUGGGCGUAAAGCGCGCGCAGGCGGAUAGGUCAGUCUGUCUUAAAAGUUCGGGGCUUAACCCCGUGAUGGGAUGGAAACUGCCAAUCUAGAGUAUCGGAGAGGAAAGUGGAAUUCCUAGUGUAGCGGUGAAAUGCGUAGAUAUUAGGAAGAACACCAGUGGCGAAGGCGACUUUCUGGACGAAAACUGACGCUGAGGCGCGAAAGCCAGGGGAGCGAACGGGAUUAGAGACCCGUGUAGUCCCUGUCUCUUAUACA